UACGUAGGGGGCUAGCGUUGUCCGGACUUAUUGGGCGUAAAGAGCGUGUAGGCGGCCAGAUAGGUCUGCUGUGAAAACUCGAGGCUCAACCUCGAGAUGUCGGCGGAAACCAUUUGGCUAGAGUCCGGAAGAGGAAAGUGGAAUUCCUGGUGUAGCGGUGAAAUGCGCAGAUAUCAGGAAGAACACCCGUGGCGAAGGCGGCUUUCUGGGACGGUACUGACGCUGAGACGCGAAAGCGUGGGGAGCGAACAGG
rnacentral:rRNA from 1 species